AAGAGACAGCAGCCGCCGCGGUAAAACGGAGGGGGCUAGCGUUGUUCGGAAUUACUGGGCGUAAAGCGUACGUAGGCGGCCUUGUAAGUUAGAGGUGAAAGCCUGGUGCUCAACACCAGAACUGCCUUUAAGACUGCAUCGCUUGAACGUCGGAGAGGUGAGUGGAAUUCCGAGUGUAGAGGUGAAAUUCGUAGAUAUUCGGAAGAACACCAGUGGCGAAGGCGGCUCACUGGACGACUGUUGACGCUGAGGUACGAAAGCGUGGGGAGCAAACAGGAUUAGAUACCCGCGUAGUCCCUGUCUCUUAUAC
rnacentral:rRNA from 1 species